rnacentral:lncRNA from 1 species
CACAAAUUUAGAUAUCAGAACAAUGAGACUAUGGUAGUAAUGGAUUUUGAAAAACUCUAUCCUUUUCUCAUGUUUCCACCUAUAUGUUUAGAUUUUCACAGAUUUUUUUUGAAAACCUUCUGGCCAGUUUGCAGACAUGUUAAGAGACAUAAUGACUUUAAUCUCCUACAACUUGUAUUUUGCUUUCAAUGGGAAAAUCUUUCAGUAGAUAUCUGCAGGUCCAAUGAGAGGCCUGAUAGCAGGCAUAAUGACUGAAACAGAUCUAUAAAAAAAAGAUACUUGUAACCUUCAAAUAAAAUUUGAAAAUAUAUGUCAGAUAUGUAAAUGAUCUCCUAGUUAUAUGGAAGCAACAUGAUAACACAGAGCACCUCAUUAAAUUAUUGAAUACAGAGAAUAUAGGCCUGAAACUAAUCUUGGACUAGAAAAAUAAUUCCAGCAUACACUAUAUGUCUAAAUAGAAAUAGCAGGAACUAAUUAUGUUACUUCAGUUUACAGAAAACCAACAUAUAUCACAAAUAUCAUAUUAAAAUGAUUGAAUGACUUGAUUAAAUUAUAAAAAAUAAGCCUUUAGAGCAUAUUUCAAGAGACUAUUGACACAUACAUGAAGCAAAAGAGAGACAGAAGAAAUUUGUCUUCAAAGAAAGAAUGUGAGGUGUGGACCUCUUUCCUACCUCUUUUCUCUUCACUUAGCUUUAAAGUUAGGUUUUUAAUAUUUUUUUAAU